rnacentral:SRP_RNA from 1 species
GCAGUCCCGUCGCGGUGGAGGCCUGUGAACCAGGUCAGGUGCGGAAGCAAGCAGCCUUAAGCGGCAACCUCCAGGCGCGGCGGGGCACUUAU